rnacentral:rRNA from 1 species
UGAGGAAUUUUGCACAAUGGGGGAAACCCUUAUGCAGCGACGCCGCGUGAGUGACGGAGGUCUUCGGAUCGUAAAGCUCUGUCAGUAGGGAAGAAAUAUGCGAUGGCUAAUAUCCAUUGUAUUUGACGGUACCUACAAAGGAAGCACCGGCUAACUCCGUGCCAGCAGCCGCGGUAAUACGGAGGGUGCGAGCGUUGUUCGGAUUUACUGGGCGCAAAGGGCGCGUAGGCGGUCUUGUAAGCCAGAUGUGAAAGCCCUCGGCUCAACCGUGGAAGUGCAUCUGGAACUGUGAGACUUGAGUACUGGAGGGGAGUGUGGAAUUCCCGGUGUAGAGGUGAAAUUCGUAGAUAUCGGGAGGAAUACCGGUGGCGAAGGCGACACUCUGGACAGAUACUGACGCUGAGGCGCGAAAGCGUGGGGAGCAAACGGG